AGGGACAGUGGGGACAUGGGGAGGGGACAGUUUGGGAUGGGGACAUGGGAUGGGGACAAGGGACAGGAUGGGAACAGGAUGGGGAGGUGGGAAUUGGGGACAAGGGACAGUGGGGACAUGGGGAGGGGACAGGAGGGGGACAAGGGACAAUGGGAUGGGGACAAGGGGCAGCAUGGGGACGUGGGAGGGGACAGUUUGGGAUGGGGACAAGGGACAGGAUGGGAAUGGGGUGGGGAGGUGGGGACAAGGGACAGUGUGGGGGCAUGGGGAGGGGACAGUUUGGGAUGGGGACAUGGGAUGUGGGGACAGGAGAUGUGGGAUGGGGACAAGGGACGGGAUGGGAAUGGGAUGGGGAGAUGGGAACUGGGGACAAGGGACAGUGGGGACAUGGGGAGGGGACAGGAGGGGGACAAGGGACAAUGGGAUGGGGACAAGGGGCAGCGUGGGGACAUGGGAUGGGGACAUGGGAUGUGGGGACAGGGGACGUGGGAUGGGGACAAGAGACAGGAUGGGAAAGGGGCGGGGAGGUGGAACUGGGGACAAGGGACAGUGGGGACAUGGGGAGGGGACAGGAGGGGGACAAGGGACAAUGGGAUGGGGACAAGGGACGGGAAUGGGGUGGGGGCAGCGUGGGAAGGGGGGGGCCCGUACUGGUGGCGUGGUUGGGGACGGUGACGGAGAUGGCGGCGGGGUCACGGCUGAGGCUGUUGGCGAUCAUCCGGCCGGCGGCUGCGGGAGUAAUUAGCAGGAGGUUCGUUAAUUAGGGCUCGGUGUCGGGAGGGAUGGGGA
rnacentral:lncRNA from 1 species